UACACUUUUGAACUCCCAAAACACACACAUAAUCUUCUCUCACAUCAAACUCUUCUCUUUCACAUUUUCUUUCAAUAUUUCGGCCAGCAAAAUCAAGGAGGAAACAAAGACAAAAAUCAUACUUAAGGAUAUAUUAAUAAUAAGGGUUUAAAUUAGAUUAUUAAAGGCUUAAAUUCAAGCAUAGUUUAAGGGUUAUAUUAAGGUUGAAACAAGGGUUGUUGGAGGCUUAAAGAGUCACGAAAUUUUCUGCCAUAUUUCCUUAUCAAAAAGUGUUCUUCAAGGGCUUGCUCGAGGGACGACACCACUAGACGUACUUCACGCAUCUGAUCAGCCCCUUUUCAUACUCCAAUCAAGUUUAGAGCAGUAAGUUAGCUUCAUGGACCGCCUCUUGGAUGUUGUGUGUUUGUUAUAUGGUUGGACAAGUAACGCAAACAUUUGAUCUUUUGAUUAUGAAUUUGGUUAUGUAAUGGAUUUAGACGUCAUCUUGAACUUGU